rnacentral:rRNA from 1 species
UACGAAGGGGGCUAGCGUUGCUCGGAAUCACUGGGCGUAAAGGGUGCGUAGGCGGGUCUUUAAGUCAGAGGUGAAAUCCUGGAGCUCAACUCCAGAACUGCCUUUGAUACUGAGGAUCUUGAGUACGGGAGAGGUGAGUGGAACUGCGAGUGUAGAGGUGAAAUUCGUAGAUAUUCGCAAGAACACCAGUGGCGAAGGCGGCUCACUGGACAUGUAUUGACGCUGAGGUGCGAAAGCGUGGGGAGCAAACAGG